UCGAUUUAGGGCAAAAUACGCGCCAUGCAAUAACCGACGUUUAAACGCGUCGGUUAUUUUUUUGC
rfam:Yersinia mollaretii ATCC 43969 contig01559, whole genome shotgun sequence.